rnacentral:lncRNA from 1 species
CCUCAUCUGGAAACAAGAUAUGCCAGCACUUUGUUCUGUGCUUUGUUUCUCCUUAAAUUAUUCUUGAUGGCAUCUCAUCAGAGCAAGGUGUGGGGCAAAGAAGGGGUGGAUGCAGUCAGGUUUUGUGUGAAAAGGUCAUCACUUGCUAUUGUAUGCAGAUCAGGAGGAAGUUAGCUCCUGGCAAAGUAAGGGCUGAUCAGGAGUGAAGAGUCAGGGAGAAACUUCUUAGGCAAAAUGUACUCAGGUGACACUCAGGCAAUGUGACUUACCCAUGCCUCUGAUCAGGGUGGGUGGGGUAUGUAUAGCUGAAGACCAGCCUACAGAGAUGGUCACAUUGUAUUCAGUCAAUAAGUAAUGGUAAUGAUAAAUAAUUUUUUGUUAUUAAUUCCACAAGCAAAGUCUUCUCUAUGGACCUAUGUACUGGCACAUCUUAGGCAACCAGAGCAGUUUCUCAACCAACCAGAUGGAGCAAGCUGAGUUUUCUUGUCCUUUUCUUUAUCCAUGAUUGUUUAGCACAUUUUCAGAAAUCUCUCCUAUUCAGAUAUGCUAUGAAUUUCUGUAAAUCAAACAUCAUCUCCCUUGCAGACCACUCAGUCUUCUACAGCCAGCAUCUGAGGAAACUUCAUCCUACAGCCCAUCCUCAUGGCUUCUCAUAUAGACAAGUUUUAAAGUGCAUCUUCAUGUUUCUGGCUGCUAAGGCUUCAUCUGUCAGUGACAAUGAAUGCUGACAUGUCAGAAAUGCACUUGAACUGAAAAUCACAGACACUGACCCUCUGUGGCAAAGGAGUUGGACUAUGGUUGUAUACAAGGCAAGUACCAGCUUCUAGAACUGAAGUCAACCAAAUAAACUAAGCAACACAAACA